rnacentral:lncRNA from 1 species
UCAAAGAUAUUAGCAGGAGCCAUGUAAGGACUGAGCGUGAGAGGCUCCAAUCGAUGCUCUAGUGCCGCCACAAAGUGUGCUUCAGCUAGGACUAGCAUGUCUGCUAAGCUUUUCUUGUUUCUGAGCCUCUGUUAAUGCCCAAGACAAUGAGAAAUAUCAAUAACAAUUAUAAUAAUCUCGAUUUGGGUUGUCAUCUUGAUGCGUUUUACUUAUUAGUUAAAAUGAUCAUUUUAUUAAUGGGAGAAGAAAAUAAAAUAUAAAUCUGAUUUUAACACUUUAAAAAUUAAUUUUUAAGUUACAAAGAAUUGAUUUUUUUUUUCAUUCAUAAAAUGGGUAGAAAAGAAAUUAGUUUAAUUGAAAUAUUGUAAAAUUUUUUAUUUCAAAUAAGAGAAUUAAAAAAAAAUGAUAUUAAUUGCUAAAUUAAAAAUAACUAUAAAUGAAAACAUUAAAAAGUAAGGUAGUGAAUAAUAUUACAUCACUUGUAAGUAAACAACAGCAUAAGAUACCAAACAAAAUAGUUAAAGUACACUCUUACAGGCUUGCAGCAUAGCUUCUGCUCCUUAGACUUUGUCAUUUUCUGGGAUUUCUAUGCUCUUAUAGGUAUUUGCUUUCCUUGUAUUUUCUGUGCUUGCUUGAUCCUCUGGUGAGUUGUGAGCUUGAAUGCAUA